rnacentral:lncRNA from 1 species
AGGAAGGUAAGCUUGUAAAUGCUUAUUUUUGGCAAAAGAUGUCAAGUUCUUGUUGGCUGUGCUAAUAUGACAUCCUGAUAGAAAUGUUCUUCAUGCAGUUAAAGAUGUAAGUGUGAAGUACCACACAGAAACCUUACAAUCUGGAAUCAUCUGAAUUACUAAAAUUGUUUUUAAUUAUCAGUAACCAUAAAUCAAAGUUCAUUUAAAAAUAAAAACGAGGAGUUCCCUUGUGGCUCAGUGGUUAACGAAUCCAAAUAGGAACCAUGAGGUUGCAGGCUCAAUCCCUGGCCUCGCUCAGUGGGUUAAGGAUCUGGCAUUGCCGUGAGCUGUGGUGUAGGUCGCAGACGCAGCUUGGAUCCCACAUUGCUGUGACUCUGGCGUAGGCCAGCAGCUAUAGCUCUGAUUAGACCCCUAGCCUGGGAACCUCAUAUGCCACGGGUGCGGCCCUAGAAAAGACAAAAACAAAACAAAAUAAAAAUAAAAAAGAGACAACUAUAAUCCUAUCAUAAAGUAGGUAUUCUAAAAUAAUUGGCUCAUAGUUGGCUGUGAUCAAAUUGUCUUAAGAAAUAGUUCACAAUUUUAACAAUGAACAUGGAAGAAGCUGGGAAAAUUGAGAAGGUUUUACAUUAGGCAAAUGCAUUUUUUUUAAGUUAAAGUUAUCUCAAAAAAUUAGUGAAAUCUUGAGUUCACCAAUCAAGAUUAAUUUACCAAUUAAAUUGCUAAUAACAAAAUUUAUUAAGCCUUUUUUUGGAGGUGUAAAAUCUAAAGAGAACUUGAUCUAUCAGCUGGUAGCUACUUCAAGAAAUAAUUUUCAAUUGAUUUGAAGAAUACAAAUCGCUAACUACUUAGUAAAAGAAAAAGGGAAAGGAAAAAGUGAUUAUUUGCAGUUUAAGAAAUAUCAAAGGCCAUCUUCCCAUCAUAAAGCAUAUCCUAAUUCCCUCCAAUCCCUUUAAAUAAUCAUAAUAUUUUUCUAUACAGGUUGGUUUAGCACCUGCAGUAACCACAGCCACAUUCUGAGGGAAAUUCCUCCCCCACGUCCCCCACAAAGGAAGCAAGACUAGGCCAGAACAGCUCCUGUCACAAUGAGCUCUAGCAAACACCAGACCCAAGGGCACCCACUCUACAGACCAAUCAACCAACUGCCUAGUUGUGGCUCGGUGUGAAAAUUCUGCCCAGAGAAUACCAAUGCCUAUGUGGGCCAGUUUAGAUUCUAUCAAGAAUGUGAAGAAGAGAUGGAAUUCAGAGCAGCAGGUUAACUAGUGGCUGAUAAGAAAAAGGUGAAAAAACAACAGAAAGUGCAGUUGAAUUUGAAUCUGGAAAAGAUAAGUGCAUUAAUACUGGGUGCUAAUAUGGGGAUCCAUGACUUCCCACUUCUGGAAGAAUCCAUGAGUUCUUCCAUUCCCCAGAGCUGCCCAAAAGCCCGAAAAGCCUACAUUUCCUGAAAUAAGAUA